rnacentral:lncRNA from 1 species
GCAGGACUGAGCAGAGUUUCCCUUUCUUGGUGAAUUUGAGCUCAUCGCGGCAUGGAAAGUGCCAGAUGACACAUGCAACAACAGAGGCUGGAAACGAUGCUUUCUUUUUAGAAAUUAAAGAUCAUAAGGGGAUGUGUGAUUUCCAACAUUUGCUGGACCCUGUUCUCAGUGGGAGGUGGGAUCUCUGAAGAUCCUUGCUGGUCUUCCCCAGUCAGGCCGGCGAACUGGGUGAGUAGCGUGAAGGCUGGUGUCCCUUCCCCUCUUUACCUCCGUCCUUCUGAACUGAGUCCUGGGAGGGAGCCGCCCCAGAGGCCAGCCUCUUGGGAAUGUCCUUCUGUUCUCCUCCAUCAGCCAUUGGCGGUGGCAGCAGGCACCUGUACAGGGAGGGGCUCUUUGGGGCUUCCAGGUUUAUUUCAAACAGCGUUUCUCUCCCCAGGUCCUCAGGUAGCGAAGCCACUCUCUUGCACCGUCUUCCUCUUUUUCUGCGGAGAUGCUGACUUUCGUUACCACCUAACAGUGGUAACUUACCGGUAGUGGUAAGUGGUCAAAAGCGUUUUUUUCCGGAAGUUGAUCUCUGGUUUUCAAGAAUGGCCCCUGGAGACCCAGUUUUGUUUUCUAUGUAAUUAUUAGAGCUCUCAGAACAACCUGACUUUCUCAGUGCUGUGGGCACGGAGUGGAUGCUGGUUUGCUCUUCUUCCUGCACAGCUGGGAAAUCUCCCUGUGGGUGAGGGGUGAGGCAGACCCAGGUGAGCAGGUGGGAAGCCGUCCUGGGCUGGAGAG